CACAGAAGUUUGAUUCUGGCUCAGGAUGAACGCUGGCGGCGUGCUUAACACAUGCAAGUCGAACGAUGAAGCCCAGCUUGCUGGGUGGAUUAGUGGCGAACGGGUGAGUAACACGUGAGUAACCUGCCCUUAACUCUGGGAUAAGCCUGGGAAACUGGGUCUAAUACCGGAUAGGAGCGUCCACCGCAUGGUGGGUGUUGGAAAGAUUUAUCGGUUUUGGAUGGACUCGCGGCCUAUCAGCUUGUUGGUGAGGUAAUGGCUCACCAAGGCGACGACGGGUAGCCGGCCUGAGAGGGUGACCGGCCACACUGGGACUGAGACACGGCCCAGACUCCUACGGGAGGCAGCAGUGGGGAAUAUUGCACAAUGGGCGCAAGCCUGAUGCAGCGACGCCGCGUGAGGGAUGACGGCCUUCGGGUUGUAAACCUCUUUCAGUAGGGAAGAAGCGAAAGUGACGGUACCUGCAGAAGAAGCACCGGCUAACUACGUGCCAGCAGCCGCGGUAAUACGUAGGGUGCGAGCGUUAUCCGGAAUUAUUGGGCGUAAAGAGCUCGUAGGCGGUUUGUCGCGUCUGUCGUGAAAGUCCGGGGCUUAACCCCGGAUCUGCGGUGGGUACGGGCAGACUAGAGUGCAGUAGGGGAGACUGGAAUUCCUGGUGUAGCGGUGGAAUGCGCAGAUAUCAGGAGGAACACCGAUGGCGAAGGCAGGUCUCUGGGCUGUAACUGACGCUGAGGAGCGAAAGCAUGGGGAGCGAACAGGAUUAGAUACCCUGGUAGUCCAUGCCGUAAACGUUGGGCACUAGGUGUGGGGACCAUUCCACGGUUUCCGCGCCGCAGCUAACGCAUUAAGUGCCCCCGCCCUGGGGGG
rnacentral:rRNA from 1 species